rnacentral:tRNA from 1 species
GCCUUGGUAGCCCAGUAGGCAGUGCGUCAUUCUCAUAAUCUGAAGGUCGUGAGUUCGAACCUCACCCGGGGCA